AGUGAACGCUGGCGGUAGGCCUAACACAUGCAAGUCGAACGGCAGCACAGUAAGAUCUUGCUCUUACGGGUGGCGAGUGGCGGACGGGUGAGGAAUACAUCGGAAUCUACUUUUUCGUGGGGGAUAACGUAGGGAAACUUACGCUAAUACCGCAUACGACCUACGGGUGAAAGCAGGGGAUCUUCGGACCUUGCGCGAUUGAAUGAGCCAAUGUCGGAUUAGCUAGUUGGCGGGGUAAAGGCCCACCAAGGCGACGAUCCGUAGCUGGUCUGAGAGGAUGAUCAGCCACACUGGAACUGAGACACGGUCCAGACUCCUACGGGAGGCAGCAGUGGGGAAUCUUGGACAAUGGGCGCAAGCCUGAUCCAGCCAUACCGCGUGGGUGAAGAAGGCCUUCGGGUUGUAAAGCCCUUUUGUUGGGAAAGAAAAGCAGCAGGUUAAUACCCCGCUGUUCUGACGGUACCCAAAGAAUAAGCACCGGCUAACUUCGUG
rnacentral:rRNA from 1 species